GACGUACUCUUACCUCUGUUGCUAACAGCUGGGUAUAGGAAUAGUUAAUCCCAUAAAGUGUACCUGUAAUGGUACCAACCGUUUGUCAUCCGUGGAUGUGCUUUCACCUCUGUAGGUAGUUAAUCCCAUAAAGUGUACCUGUAAUGGUACCAACCGUUUGUCAUCCGUGGAUGUGCUUUCACCUCUGUAGGUAACAGAGAUUCUAGGAAUGGUCAAUCCCAUAAUCGUAUCCUUUGAUACUAGGAUAAUAAAUCCAUUCUAUCUCGUCGAAUAUGUGAUUGUAUCACAAGGUAAAGGUAAGAAUGAGGAUUUGAUAACAGAGUCGAUACAUAUAAAAUGUAAUAGGACUCCUCCUGAUAUAUCUAUGCAAAAGUACUCCUAUAAGUGUGAUCAUGUAAAUAUUAUAGUAGAGUACUGUAAGGUUCUACGUGUGCUAGCUGUAAUGUGUGUUCUCUCUAUCUAGCAAGUAUAGUAAUGUAAUGAACUGUAAUGUUCUAUGUGUGCUAGAUGUAAUGUGUGUUCUCUCUAUCUAGCAAGUAUAGUAAUGUAAACGUCUAGUAUAGUUGUAUAUGUUCUCGUCCUAGUAUAGAUGUAUAUGUUCUCGUCCUAGUAUAGUUGUAUAUGUAAUGUACACUAAUGUUCUAGAAAGUAUUGACUCAUGAAUGAACUGACUCAUUGUAUGAUAUCGCGUUCUAGUAAUGGUUCUAGUAUCUUCCUGAACUACCCAUAUGGUAGCUUACUAGUAAUCUAAGUGGUACGUAUGGACGUGGAUGUAUACCCUUGCUACCCAAGGGCAUAGGAUGAACUGGAAGGACCUUUUAUGACUUUAUAUGUACACAUGAUAUAUAACUAAUAUUUAAACGACCUUCGGACGAGUAUCCGAUAUCCCACCAGACCACAUCUCAAGCGCG
rnacentral:lncRNA from 1 species